AGGACGAACGCUGGCGGCGUGCUUAACACAUGCAAGUCGAGCGGAAAGGCCCUUCGGGGUACUCGAGCGGCGAACGGGUGAGUAACACGUGAGUAAUCUGCCCCUAGCUCUGGGAUAGCUCCGGGAAACCGGGAUUAAUACCAGAUACGACCACUUUAGACAUCUGUUGUGGUGGAAAGAAUUUCGGCUAGGGAUGAGCUCGCGGCCUAUCAGCUUGUUGGUGAGGUAACGGCUCACCAAGGCGACGACGGGUAGCCGGCCUGAGAGGGCGACCGGCCACACUGGGACUGAGACACGGCCCAGACUCCUACGGGAGGCAGCAGUGGGGAAUAUUGCGCAAUGGGCGAAAGCCUGACGCAGCGACGCCGCGUGGGGGAUGAAGGCCUUCGGGUUGUAACCCCUUUCAGCAGGGACGAAGCGAAAGUGACGGUACCUGCAGAGAAGCGCCGGCUAACUACGCGCCAGCAGCCGC
rnacentral:rRNA from 1 species